GAAUGUGAAAACGCAAUUUUAAACCACUACUUAACAGUUGACAUUUUCAGGUAUAGAUACUUUUCAUGUUACCCUAUUUUAUUUGAUCAGUUAUCGUUUGCUCUUAUGAACAUGCUCACGCUGUGAUUACUAAUUCUUCAGACUCCUGACGUCAUGAAUCAUUUCACGAACGAAUCAGACCGGGCGCGUGGCCGGUUCUCUCAUCUCGUUCUCUCGUUCUCUCCGCGUUUUCGUUCUUCCGAAUCUUUCAAGGUACCGGCUCUCAAAGAGCCGGUUGGAUCUCUCGUUCUCUCCACAUUUUCGUUCUACCGAAUCUUUCAAGGUACCGGCUCUCAAAGAGCCGGUUCUUUACAUCGCGAACGAAUCGCAAGAUUUCGUUCUCUCAAAGAUUCGUUCUUUUUGAACGAAUCGUUAACGAACGACCCAUCACUACUAGAGAUGUGUAUUUUAGACAUUAGUUUUGGGUUUAAACAUGCGUGAUUGUAAUGUGCCUAAAAUUAGUUGUUUGAUUAAAGGAAGAUUUUGAAAUAUAUAAGAAAAGACGGCAAUAAGUGUGAGUAAAUUGUUAAUGAACAACGUUGGAUUAUUUUGAAGAGAAUAAAUUGGAGACUAAAAUACGUCCAAAAAGAGACGAAACAAUCACAUGUGCUUGGCCGACCGUGGUGACAUCAAGCGGUGCUGGAAGCUGAUCAAUCGGGACAGCUGUAUUGACAUCGAGAGGUGCGAUUGUGCUGAUGAGUCGGCAGGACGUGGUGUCUGGCGGGAGUCAACAUCAAAACUGACCUGGAGUUAUGGGUGUGGUAAGACCAAAUUGGCGAUGCAUCACGGGACCUGGGUGAAUGCUGCUGCUGGGACAAACUCCGCUACCCUGGGAAUUCACGUGCGGCCUGGGUGGACAGUGUGCUGCCCCCCUAGGGACGUAGCCAGGGGGAAGUCCUCAAAGUAAGGAAGAUGACGAGUGGCAACUCAAUACCUAAACUAACGCAUUUAUUUUCUUUGGAAAUCUGAGAACUCUGUGUGAUUGAGGUGCAGCCUGAUAAUCUGUACGUCAUUAAUUUUUCAAAACAAAUGUUGGCAAUCUUGAAUUUUUUUUUGUGGUCAACCGUUGCAGGGAAUAUUAACCGUCAAUACGGGAACAACCAGAACACUAUGCUAAAACGCUUUUAUCUUUUGUUUGAGAUAUAAAAAACUGCAUAGCCGCACCAGCAUCUUCGGCAAGCUGCAGCUGCAUCUCGGGUGAGAUGCACCAGCAUCUUGGGCGAGCUGCAGCGGCAUCUUGGGCGAGCUGCAGCUGCAUCUUGGGCGAGCUGUAGCUGCAUCUUGGGCGAGCUGCAGCUGCAUCUUGGGCGAGCUGUAGCUGCAUCUUGGGCGAGCUGCACCGGCAUCUUGGGAGAGCUGCAGCAGCAUCUUGGGCGAGCUGCACCGGCAUCUCGGGCGAGCUGCACCGGCAUAUCGUGCGAGCUGCACCGGCAUCUUGGGCGAGCUGUAGCUGCAUCUUGGGCGAGCUGUAGCUGCAUCUCGGGCGAGCUGCACCGGCAUCUCGGGCGAGCUGCACCGGCAUCUCGGGCGAGCUGCAGUAGCAGCAGCAGCAGCAGCAGCAGCAUCAUCUCGGGUGAGAUGCACCAGCAUCUUGGGCGAGCUGUAGCUGCAUCUUGGGCGAGCUGUAGCUGCAUCUUGGGCGAGCUGUAGCUGCAUCUUGGGCGAGCUGUAGCUGCAUCUUGGGCGAGCUGCAGCUGCAAUUUGGGCGAGCUGCACCGGCAUCUCGGGCGAGCUGCACCGGCAUCUCGGGCGAGCUGCACCGGCAUCUCGGGCGAGCUGCACCGGCAUCUCGGGCGAGCUGCACCGGCAUCUUGGUUAAGUGCACUGGCAACACAGGUGAGCUGCUGCAGCAGCAGCAGCAUCAUCUAGGGUGAGAUGCACAGGCAUCUCGGGCGAGCUGCAGCUGCAUCUCGGGCGAGCUGCAGCUGCAUCUCGGGCGAGCUGCACCGGCAUCUCGGGUGAGCUCAAGACCUAGAAGCUACACGAUCCCAUUCUGCUCUGCUCGCAUUUACUUGCCCUUCAGUCACAAUAAGGUAACAAAAUUUAGUAUGUCUCAGUUAAGAAAAAAAACUCAAAUCAAAUCAUUUGCUAGGAAAUAUUUCCUUAUUAUUUAUAACCAAAAACUAGAAGAUUUGUCCUUCCCUAAUUGUUUACUUUAAUAACCAUUAUACCUGUAGCUCUAAAAAUAACUGUAAAUUAAUUCUUGAUAACACAGUAUUUAGUGCCAUAGGUUCAGUCCUUUAAAAUAUACCUUGUGCACACUUCGCAAAUAUAAUGAUUUUGUUUUAAGAUUAAUUUCUGAUUUUUUUACGAACUGAUUCAUCUAACCUUACUGUACUGGAUUUAUAGCAUUUUUUUAACUUGGUAUUUAUUUUGCUUUAUUUAAUAAUCGUGUAUAUAUUAUCUUAUUUUUUUCAGUUGUGUUAUUUCCUUUGAUUGGCAUUAAUAUUAUAGUUAUAACUGUUUUUUAUUUUAAUUUUAUCAUUGUAGUAUUGAUCUCUUGGUUGUGCUGUCUUUGUUUCUCCUUUGUCCUGUGUUAUUUACUGUUAGUUUAUGGUAUUUAUUAAUGAAUAUUGUUUCAAUAAUUAUCUGAUUUAAAUAAAAAGUGUCACUAUUAUUUUAUAUUUUUAAGUUUUUAAUUUGUAAUCAGAUUAUAGCUCAUUACAUUGGCUAUUAGACUGUUACAGAAGAUUUCAGGGGAAACUGUCAGUGUUAGAAUCCUUUAAAAUUGUGCAUACCAUCAGCCUGUCUGCCAUAAUAUGUACCGUAUUUACUCGCAUAUAGGUCGCCAUUGCAGAUAGGUCGCACCCAUAAUUUGAGGUCUUGAAUUUGGUAUUUAAGAUUCCCCCAUAUAGGUCGCACCGGUAAUUCAUUACCGCGCCGUGCGCCGUGCGCGGAGAAAGGUCAUUGUACUCGAUCAGCUGCUGUUACGGUGCGCCUGCACAGUUUAACUCACUCAAAGCUCCGCCCAGACUCGUGACCUUGCAUCAGCAGCCAGCCAAUAGAUGCGAGCUUAGCGGAAAAAAAUAUAAGCUCCACCUCCCGUGUACCAGUUUUGUCCAGUUCUAAAACCAAUUUAUUGGUAUACGCACCAGUUUUCUCGCUGCCGUGACAUGUUCAAGUUUACGUCCAUCUUGAUGUCUUGAUACCAAUAAUUAAUUAAUUACGAUCCCCAGAAAUAAAUUGUUAGUUUAAAAAAUAUGCGUCAACUGUACAAUACUUCUGAAAUUAUAAAAUAUGUAUAAAACAGUUACCAAGACUCCGCUCAUUUUAUCUUGUGAAGUUUGUCUCGUACCAGUAUUUCGGCUAAGUUGUGACAUAAAUACAGUAUCAGAAAUUAACAAUCAGCCACGUUCAUACAUUCGUGAGUUUACGUUUUUCCCUCGUGCAUUUUAGAUUGUCGCACUUCAUUUUUUCCCCAUCGAAUAUGGUAAAAUUGCCGCGACCUAUAUGCGAGUAAAUACGGUAGUCUCUAAGCAAAAAGUUUAUUGUGUCCUAGUGAUGUUGCAAAUUAAAUUCUAUGUUUAUUUCCAUAGAUAUUAAGCAGAGACUACAUAGCUGGGCUUCUGAUAAAUGAAUCCAUUCAAGAUGUUAAGAAAGUUGAAGAUACUGAAAGAAUACCAUACGGGAUCAAACCCUCAGAACAGUCUCGAAGAGGAAAGAAAAUAAAUUGUAUGUUAUAAAUAAUUAGGUUUUUAUGGAAAAUACGCUUGUUGGAUUUAUAAAUUAUGUCUCACGUAUCAGUAGCACCAAGUACAGUACAACCCUGUAAUAACAUUAUCCAAGGGACCAACUUAAAAAAGUGUUAUAAGCAGGAAAAUGUUAUAAGCAGGAAAUCAUAAAAUUACUUCUUCACUUUGUAUAAAUUACGCGUGGAUUGAUUAAAUUAAAGAGUAUAGGUAAAACAACACACAGUACAGGAGUAAUACACUAAGUACAGCAAUAGAGUGGAAACUUGGUUAAUUUUAUUUAUAGAUAAUAUACCUAAUAAUAUGCUAAAGAAAAAAAGGUUUUGUACGAUAUAGUUCAGAGUCGAAAUAGAAAUAUUCAACUCCUUUGCAAUCGCAACACGCCUUUUGUUGGGGUUCCUGUCCACUUGGUUAAUAAACUGAAAUUUUUCAGCUACAGAAUAUGAUUUUCGCUUAUAUUUAUCGGCCAUCAUAGCCGUACAAUAACCUGAAUAAAAUUUCAAUACAGUAUAUUUUAAUUAAAUACGACCGUGACUACAAUAAGUGAAGAAAAAAAAAAAUUACGGUAAAGGUUAACCUAGAGGUGGGUCGAAAAGUAUCAACCUUUUACUUUGGCACUGAUACGCGCCUGUAUCAGGAACGGCAAACGAGUACACUUGAAAAGUAUCAGGUACUUUAGUAUCAGUUCAGAAUUCGCCUGGAACAACACCACGGCCAAUGUGCGCAGAACCCGAUCGCAGAUGACGGUCACUUGGGCGGAGCUUGUGAAAGGGGAGGGAGCGGCACGACGAAUAAGGGAUAAAGAAAGGAAAUAAUGUAGGGGAGGAAGCGCAGGGGAAGGCGUUGAAGGAGAGGCGCAAAGCGAAAUUGUUACGAGUCGUUUGGUUAUUGUCCCACAUCAAAGUACGCUCAGAGCGCAGUGCGUGCACAGACUUGUUCAAUAAUAAAACUAAUGAAAUUUUAAUAUUAAAAAGUACAUUAAUACAAGAUAUAAUAUUUAUAUUUGUGCACCUAACAGCUAUGAAAAUGCAAAUAAAUUCUCAGUUGACACUAAUAACAGAUGUAAUCAACAUUAGGACUUUUUUUUCUGAAAACAAUUAGUAACUAGUGUUUUCAUACAUUAAAAGAUUACGAUUUUAUAAAAAAUUAAAAAUUAAAAAAAAAACAGAUACGUACAUUAGUGAGCAUACUAUAUCAAUGUUUACGUUUCAAAUGUUUCUUCAGAUUAGUCGAUGAUGAUUUAUAACUCAGUUUUUGUUUACACAAAUUACAAUUAGCAAACUCAUUAUUUUCCGUAAAAAAAUUCCACACAAAUGAAGUCUUUUUCGUGCACUUAUCCAUUCCUUAUUUCACUAUAAAGAUACUAACUACAAAGCAUGACAGCCCGCAACAAUGUACAUGGUGAUACACGGCCAGGACGAACUGCAGUGAAUGUUGAACUGAUUGAUACUGGCUAGUGAUGUGCGAGUCUCGGCAUCAUCGAGAACGAGUCGAGACAGAAAUUUUCUCGAUCUCGUCUCGAGAUAAUUUUUUUGGCUCUGAAUUUUCGAGAAUUUCGUAAACAAGAAAUAGGUUAGGUAAUAUAAUAUAUUGAGGCAGCAUUUUGCGUUGCGUGUUGAAAUAAUUAACAUAUCUUCAAUGUAACGUAGAUCGAAUAAAAUAAAAUAUACUUGUUACGAUAGUAUACACGAUAAAUUAUUAAAAAGUUAAAAACGAACACCUUCCGUUCACAAGUCACUACAUGAAACGGUAAACGUAAACAAUGAAUUGUGCUGUGGUUAUCACAUUAAAUUACAUAAGAAAAUGAUUAUUUUCCGUUAAUAAAACCAACAUUAAAGUUAAAAAUAAAUCAUUUUCGGUAUCAAUAUCAAGCAUCAACGUAAAACGGUACGGUAAAAAAUAAAAAUAUAAACAUGACUGCAGAAUUCUUCCGCGAUUGCAUUUUGUUUUAUGGCCUUGGGUUAUACACACGGCCAGCAGUAUAUAACAAGCAACACGAUGUUUAAAUUGCGGUCCGUAUCGAUAGUGACAUAUCGAUAGUGGUGAAUGUUCAGAAUUUCAUGAUCAAGUACCGUCCAUGGCUCAAGGAAACUGUAUAGACUAUGGAGUCAAUAACGUAUGUUUACAUACGACAGUAGGCAAAUAAACUGUUGAGUGUAAAGGUAAAGUUGUAAUUGCAAUUGCAAUUGUGGAUACUUGAUAAAAUUAUUGAAUAAUUGUGUAUGUUUGUCAGAUUAUUGUUGGAUCAUAUUAUCCUGUUAACUAAAGUACAGAUUUCUCGAUCUUGACUCGAUUCUCGAGAAUUUUUAAAUUGCUUUCUCGAUCUCGUCUCGAAUUCAAAAAAGUCUUUCUCGCACAUGCCUAAUACUGGCUGUAUCAGGCGGGCAUGAGAGUAACAGAGGUAGAGAAUUACCGGGCGUGAUAAAUAAUGUAUCAGAUUCUCCUUCCGGUCGCACGGUCUGCGUACGCGGAGCUUUGUUGCCUCCUGGGACCGUCUGAUACAGAAGUAUCAGAGACUUGUAACUACAGUAGAACCCUGUUAUAAUGAAUCUGAAGGGAGUAGUUUAUAUGUUCACUAUAGAGGGGAAACUUUAUAUCUGGGAAAACUUUUAUAUUGGCAAUACAUACUCAAAAGCAUAAUCUUAACUACACAUAGGCCUAAGCCAAGAAAAGAACGAAUGAAAAUACUCAAAGCAACAGUUUUAUGAGCAAAUGCAGAUAUUAUUUUUAAUACACUACACAUGUACAAACUUUCUAUUAAUGGUUCUUCGACAUCGGCGUAUUUUCCUUUUUUCAGGCGUUUAAUACUCUGUGACGUAUUCGCAGCUUGAGAAAGAAGAUUGUUCAGCUUGUUUAAUAUUGUAUUUAAUGUGGAUGUUGCAAUUCCCAGUUCCUUUGAUAUUAACACGUGCGGGACAGUGGGGUUGGAGUCUACCUUUUUAAUAAUGUCCACUUUAUCUCGCACAGAUAAUGCCUUACGUUUUUUAACGCGUUUUUCACCCUUUUUUAUGUACGUAUUUCUUAUUGAAGCACAUUUGCAGCUUAAUAACACGAAAUUCUUUUUACCGUCAAAAGUAAAUAAACGAAAAAUAACGAGUCUGGCGCAUCAAAGAUCACUACGUAUCAUUUAGUAUCGCAGUUGCUAAAGCUGGAACGAAAAUUUCUUACUUUCUAUGGAAAAAUUUAGUCCACAGAGUUCUAUCUAGUGGUAGUCUUAAAAACCUUACUCGAUCAAAAUGUCCGAAACGUGAACGAUAAAAAUGAGACGUAAAAAUAUUGAAUUUGCUGCUAUAAUGUACAUACGUAUUUGUGUGGCGCUAAUUUAUGUUUAAUUUUGAUAACUUAUUAAAUGUACACGCGUUCGCCCAUUCUUUAACUAUGCAGGGAAAACUAUUUUUUUAUUUUCACCAAACUGAGCACCAUUUCUGGCUACACGUAGCCUACCGAGGCCACUCGAUUACGACUUGUUUAUAUUAUGAACAGUGGACAAUGGAGUAGCAUAUUGGGGAGAAAAACGUUAAUGUGAUCCAGAAUAGACGUUUUGUGAAAAUACUUGUAAUUAUAUGAAAAUAUUUGAGAUAAAUGUGCAUUAUGUCGGCAAAAUUUGUUCGUGGUACACAGGAAAACGUAUCAACAUUGACAAAAGUUGUGCGCUAUAUCCAAUAAAUUAAUACAUAACCUCACAUCAUUUUGCCGGGACCGAGACGGAAAUUCACUAUAAACGGGAUUUCAUUAUAGGCGGGUUCACUAUAAACGGGUUCUACUGUAGGUACAUUACUGUAUCAGUAUCAGGUUGGAACAGAUACCGAAAAUUGCUGUAACAACCCACCUAUAGGUUAACCACAAACAAAAGCCGUGAAUAUAUCCAUAGAACAUUUAACCAUCUCAAGGUGUUAAAACUUUGAAACAAAAACCAGCACCAUAGAAUACAGUAACACUGUUUCCAACCAUGUAUCAGUGAACAAAAUGCGCGUCAUAGGCUAACGAGCGCGAACAGGACACCAUAUUCAUAGUCGUUCCGGUGCAAGUUGUGGAGUGCGUGUGUACCACGUCUAUGGUGAACUACACAAAUGUAAACAUCUAAUGUUUGUAUAUGCGUGCUGUAUUUUCUAGCUAUGGUUUCGCUCUAAAUUAUGACUUUGAAGGAAGGGAUACUGAAAAUUGUGGCAGUUAUCAAAGCAAAUUUGAACGUUAAAGGCGGGAAUGUAGAAAUUUUAAUAUUGUUACAGGCGGGAAAUUAAAGCAUUGUGAUAAAUGGAGAAAUGACGGGACCAUGAAAUUAUGGUGUUAUAGGGGGGAAAAUGUUACAAACGGGAAUGUUAUAAUCGGGUUGUACUGUAUUGUGUUAAUGAUUGUAAAAACUUUUUUUUUUAAUUUUGACUUUCAGAAAAAGUUCAAAAAAUCCAGCAUAUAUAAUGUGUGUAAUGUCCGGUAUUUUACUUUCACUUAAGGUCAUCUUAAAGCAUGUACAUAGGCCUGUGCCAAUAAUCAAAUUAAGUGAUUGAAUGAGCCUAUAGUAACAUAUUUGUACCGUAGUUAUUCACGAGUUUUUGUUAAAGAGUGCCAGAUAAAUUAUAUUUUAUUUCAGCAAUAUCAUAAAAAUCAGUAUUUGCUGAUUUCAUCUGGAAUCUUAAACCAUUAUAAUUUAUUUAUAUAUAUUUUUGAUUCACAAUGUCUGUUUUAUCAUAGAUACAGUCAAACCUCUAUCUAUCGAGCUCGCAUGUAUCGAUUGUCCGUGUUUAUCGUAUACUUUCUACGGUCCCAGCAAAAUUGCCAUACAACUAAGGUUAAAAAAGUCCGCUUGUACUGAUGUUUGAAUUAUCGUUUUGUUCGCAUUGAUCGUACAAAAUAUGUGGUCCUGUCACUAUAAAUUAUAAUAGAUGAUCGUUCCAUAAAUAUUUUGCAGAAACAUCCAUUUCUUAGACAAAAACCGUCAUAAAAACAGUAACGAUUGUAUACAGAAGUAAUAAAAAUCACCUUAAAUCUGCAGCCAAGUAAUGAAGCACGUAAACAUGAAGAAAAGACAAAUGAACAACAACUUACGAAGAAAUAUGGAUGAUGUACCAUAACUAUAGUACAAACCCAAUUGUUAUCUUAUGAUAAUGACCAUAAAAAGAACUAAAGAUUCUUUGUAGAUACUAGUGGUGCACCGAUGCGGAUACCGAUGAAUCGUAAUCGGCGAUUAUGGGUACUUACCGAUUAAUCGUAAUCGGCGAUUAUCUUAACGAUUACUUUACCGAUUAUCUACGUCCCGGCGUAAUUAAGUAGGUUUUUACCGUGUAAUAUUUUGUUACACAUUUUAGGACGAAAUACGGUAAUAUUUGUAUAUAUUACAAAAUUCAUCUAACUCCGUCAUAUCAAGAUUACAGUUAUUUCGUUAAGUUUAAUAAAUCUCAUUGCCUCGAACAAUAAAAAAUACAUUUUUCCUACACGUUUAUUUACGUUUCGUCUUUUGUUCUGUCUUUUGUUUAGUGGCCUUGUAUGUACAUUACCUAUAGCCAGAGACGUAAAAUAGAUGGCACGCAUUCAAAAUACCACAAGCAGUUGCAGUGUAUUCUAUGACAAUCGAUCUUUUCGAGUCGUAGUAGCGGUUCAAGAUCGUGGUCCCGAUACCUUUCAGAGUUUAUCACUGCGUUUUACAAACACGUUAUGGGCGUCUUUGGUAACAUUAUCCGUUGUUGUGUUAUUUGUAUGUGACGUGAAAAGUGAAAAAGUAUUUAUAAUUUUAUACAUUCAGUCAACAUUAAUAAAAUUACAUGUGCUAGAAUUGGUUUUGAGUCAUUUUUAUAUAAUUAUAGUGACAUGGCGACUAGGGAGAAAAAAGUGAAGUGUGGGAUCAUUUUUCUAUAAACUCAAGUGAACAAAAUAUAGUAGGCAUGUGCGAGAAAGACUUUUUUGAAUUCGAGACGAGAUCGAGAAAGCAAUUUAAAAAUUCUCGAGAAUCGAGUCGAGAUCGAGAAAUCUGUACUUUAGUUAACAGGAUAAUAUGAUCCAAAAAAGUAAAACUCAAUAAUCUGACAAACAUACAUAAUUAUUCAAUAAUUUUAUCAAGUAUCCACAAUUGCAAUUACAACUUUACCUUUACACUCAAGUUUAUUUGCCUAUUGUCGUAUGUAAACAUAAGUUAUUGACUCCAUAGUCUAUACAGUUUCCUUGAGCCAUGGACGGUACUUGAUCAUGAAAGUCUGAACAUUCGCCACUAUCGAUAUGUCACUAUCGAUACGGACCGCAAUUUAAACAUCAUGUUGCUUGUUAUAUACUGCUGGCCGUGUGUAUAACCUAAGGCCAUAAAGCAAAAUGCAAUCGCGGAAGAAUUCUGCAGUCAUGUUUAUAUUUUUAUUUUUUACCGUACCGUUUUACGUUGAUACUUGAUAUUGAUACCGAAAAUGAUUUAUUUUUAACUUUAAUGUUGGUUUUAUUAACGGAAAAUAAUCAUUUUCUUCUGUAAUUUAAUGUGAUAACCACAGCACAAUUCAUUGUUUACGUUUACCGUUUCAUGUAGUGACUUGUGAACGGAAGUUGUUCGUUUUUAACUUUUUAAUAAUUUAUCGUGUAUACUAUCGUAACAAGUAUAUUUUAUUUUAUUCGAUCUACGUUACGUUGAAGUUAUGUUAAUUAUUUCAACACGCAACACAAAAUGCUGCCUCAAUAUUUUAUAUUACCUAACCUAUUUCUUGUUUACAAAAUUCUCGAAAAUUCCGAGCCAAAAAAAUUAUCUCGAGACGAGAUCGAGAAAAUUUCUGUCUCGACUCGUUCUCGAUGAUGCCGAGACUCGCACAUCACUAAAAUAUAGAAACAUGUUUACAUUGUUAAACGGUAAUUUCUCGAUGCAACCUUAUGUGAAAUCUAUAAUAAUGCUAGUUUUCCGCAACAAAAACUUACCCACUGUAAAUUACAAUUAUUAGACUGUAGUUCAAGUUGUUUACAAUAACAAAUAUAAAUAGAAGUUAAUUUAAUUUACACUUUGCAAUGACUUAAUAGAGUAUUUUAUAUAUUUUUAUACUGUUAUUAUAACUGUAUUCUCAAUUUUACCUAAUCUUGUUAUUAAAUUCACAUGGUAAUAAAAACUUUUGUGUGCAUUAUUACACUUAAAAAAAUUUGUUUAUUAUAAUCGGUAACUGAAUCGGUAUCUGCCGAUUAUUGCUCUCAUAAUCGGUAAUCGAAUCUGUAAUCGGUAAAGUCAUUUCGGUGCACCACUAGUAGAUACCAUAAUACUACAGAAGCACGAUAGCUACCACAUUUGCACUAUAGUUACCGUAAGAACCAAGAUGUAUACGUAUUUACCGUGAUGGUAAUGUAUUUAUUUAUGACAUAUUAAAAUUAAAGAACAUUAUUGAAGAAAAAAAAAAGCAUGUUAAAUUUUUAUAUGUAUGGUUAGCACAUGUUGCGAAGAAAUAAUGCAGUACUACUACGAAAAAUGAAAAGGGUACUCGUGGAUUUUUAGGUUAUGGCAGUUUCUCUCGUUUUUUUCAGUAAUAUCGGCCGAAAAUUAACAAGCGUAUCAGAAGUCGGCAGAAAUACAGAUUCAACUAAAUAUUGGCAAAAUCAGCUUCUUCAGUACACCUCUACAUUUGAUGACAUGAGUAAACAUAUUUCAGACUUCAGGAUAUUGAAAAAGACUUUAAUUUCCAUGUAGGUUUAUUGUGCAUAUGUUUUUUUUUUUGCAAGUGAAAAUUGAAUUAAGUAAAAUGCUCCCAUUUUUAUUUUUUUUCAAAUGAUUAAACUUUAAUGACAAGUAACUGAUUUAUUUCUGACACUAAUUUUGAGGUUGAAAUAUUUUUUUCAAAAUCUAAGAGUGAAGUCCACAUCUAUUGAAUUUUUUUGUUGGUCCCCUGAAAAACGAUAGAUAGAGGUUUGACUGUACAUAUAAUAAGUAAGCAAGCUUCUACUGUAUCAUAUGGUGUUGGAUCAUUUGUGAUUAUUAAUUUGUAUGUCAUUGAAACUAUGAGAAUUAAUUAAUUCUUGUAAUACCCAUCUGAAUGGAGUGUCCUUGUUUUGUGGUGGUGCAGUCCAUGGUGUGAAUGUUUAUUUUUUCCCACUUCUGGUGCGUGUGACAAAAGAAAUAGAAAUAUUAUUUUGUUUUCAAAAUUGAAAUGAUAAAUAUGCAGUGUUUUGAAUUGUUUAUGCAAUUUUUUCUGUUAAUGUUUAGCAAGGCGGUAGCAAAAAAAAAAAAACAUUGAAUACGUCACUUAUUGUUCAUGUUUUUGAUUAUGAAGUUACAUUAAACAUUAAAAAAAAAAAGGGUAUCAUCCACAUAAAUGACUUAAUCUCAACAGUGAAUUUUGGUGUGUGACAAUUCAUGAGAUAUGCUAAAUUAAGUAUUCAUAAGCAAACGAAUCUUUAGUAUUUCGAAGUUUUAGAAAUAGAGGUUUAAUCAAAUAAUUUAAUUGUAUUCAAAAAUUCGAAAUUUUGCACAGGCCUAAUGCACAUUAUUAUAGAGACUGCUAAAUGUUUUGAAUUACAAAUACAAGAUUUUCAGAAAAUAUUAGCCAUGUUUAAGAAGUUAAGAGAUGCAAUCUCAUAUUAUAUUAUAAUUGGUAAACUUGCAACAUCAUACCAGUUGUGUACCAUGUCAGUUGCUACUUUCAACAUCAGUGAUUAGGCUUAUACAAAUAUUCAAAUUUUCUAAUACAAAUACUACCGUAUUGUAUCGCAUAAUCGUCACACAUUUUAUACUAAAAUCCAGUUUUAAAAUUAAGGGUGUGACGUUUAAGCAAAAAAAAUAUACCUAUAUAUAUUUUUGUUAGGAAAAGUUAAUCAUAAAAACAAAACCCAGUCAUGGAAAGUAUGUUUAUUUAAAAAGCACGCCGAACAAUUUAAAUUAAUAAGUCAUGCAACCAAAACCUUUCAUGAACUUUAAAUAUAAAAACAAAAUGUGAAUGUGAGACUGAACUAAUGCAUAACUAUUGUCGUCGUACACCACGAAAGAGUGCGGGCCAACAAAUGUAGUUAACUCAGAACUCAACAGAGACCGCGCAUUGCAUGCAAUCGGUGAGAUAUCAGUAUCAAUAUUCGACUGUGUGCGCACUCUGUACGAGAAUCAACAUGACCAAACAUGAAUGAUGCAAACUAGCGCUGGCUAACUUUUAAAACACAUCGUUUUAUAUAGAAAAGAUACCCACACAAAGCACCCGGAAUCUAAUAGCAGGACCAAAAACAUCAUAUGACUUUUACGCAAGGUUUUUUUUAUCAAAAUUUUGACGCCCUAAAAUAUAGUUGAGGCAGUUAUGCGAUAAAACAGGUUACCUCAUGACUUUGUCACAUACCAACGUUAACCAAGGUUAAGUCAUUGUGCGACUAAGAUGUUUUGAUGGGACUCUUAACAAAAAAUAUGAACAAUAUUAAGUGGUGUUAUAAACAUGCAACAAGUAUUCAAUUUUUUGUCCCAACUACUGUCCCACUAAACAUUAACAAUUCAAAACACGACAUACUUGUCAUUUCAAAUAAAAGUAAAAUAUUAUUUGAAAUAUCAACACAUGCACAAGAAGUGGGAAAAAAUAAAUAAAUAACAACCAUGGACUACAAGACCAGAAAAAAAAUACACUCCAUUGCCAAGGCCAGUAAAAGAAGUAAAUUCAUACAUAGUUAUAAUGGCAUAUAAAUUGAUAGUCACAAUUGUUCUAACACCAUGCUACACAGUGAAUUUUUAUUAUUGAAUGUAUCUAUGACAAAACAAUUUGACUCCAAAAAUAUAUUUAAAACAAAUGAAUGCUUUUGUAUUCCAUGUAAAAUUAGCAAAAAUUUGUGAUUAAUAUACUGCCAAUUUAAAAUACAGUUUUGAAAAAAAAUACAGUUUGUCAAUAAAUAAAUUGAUAGGUAUUUAUUAUGUCCAUCAAUGAUGUAAUCUUGUUUAAUGAAAAAAUAAAUUUUUACUGAACCUUA